rnacentral:rRNA from 1 species
UACGUAGGGACCAAGCGUUGUUCGGAUUUACUGGGCGUAAAGGGCGCGUAGGCGGCAUAUUAAGUCAGCUGUGAAAUCUCCGAGCUUAACUCGGAACUGUCAGCUGAUACUGAUGUGCUAGAGUGCAGAAGGGGCAAUCGGAAUUCUUGGUGUAGCGGUGAAAUGCGUAGAUAUCAAGAGGAACACCUGAGGUGAAGACGGGUUGCUGGGCUGACACUGACGCUGAUAGCGCGAGAGCGUGGGUAGCAAACAGG